rnacentral:rRNA from 1 species
AAUGAACGCUGGCGGCAUGCCUAACACAUGCAAGUCGAACGAAGGCUUCGGCCUUUUUGGCGCCUGGGUGUGUAACGCGUGGGAAUAUGCCCUUGGGUUUGGAAUAACAGUUAGAAAUGACUGCUAAUACCGGAUGAUGUCGUAAGACCAAAGAUUUAUCGCCCAAGGAUGAGCCCGCGUAGGAUUAGGUUUUUGGUGGGGUAAAGGCCUACCAAGGCGACGAUCUUUAGCUGGGCUGAGAGGAUGAUCAGCCACACUUGGACUGAGACACGGCCCAGACUCCUACGGGAGGCAGGAGUGUGUAAUAUUGGACUACGGGCGAAAGCAUGAUCCAGCAAUGCCGCGUGAGUUAUGAAGGCCGGAGGGUAGAAAAGCUCUUUUACCCGGGAUGAUAAUGACAGUACCGGGAGAAUAAGCGCCGGCUAACUUCGUG